rnacentral:rRNA from 1 species
GGGUUUAAAGGGUGCGUAGGCGGAUUNNUAAGUCAGAGGUGAAAUUUUGCGGCUCAACCGUAAGCUUGCCUUUGAUACUGAUAAUCUUGAAUUAACUUGAGGUAGGCGGAAUGUGACAAGUAGCGGUGAAAUGCAUAGAUAUGUCACAGAACACCANUUGCGAAGGCAGCUUACUAAGGUUAUANUGACGCUGAGGCACGAAAGCGUGGGGAUCAAACAGGAUUAGAUACCCUGGUAGUCCACGCCNUAAACGAUGAAUACU